rnacentral:rRNA from 1 species
UACGAAGGGUGCAAGCGUUACUCGGAAUUACUGGGCGUAAAGCGUGCGUAGGUGGUUCGUUAAGUCUGAUGUGAAAGCCCUGGGCUCAACCUGGGAAUGGCAUUGGAAACUGGCGACCUAGAGUGCGGUAGAGGGUAGUGGAAUUCCCGGUGUAGCAGUGAAAUGCGUAGAGAUCGGGAGGAACACCGAUGGCGAAGGCAGCCUCCUGGGCCAACACUGACGCUCAUGCACGAAAGCGUGGGGAGCAAACAGG